rnacentral:lncRNA from 1 species
UCUCCUCUGGGCAUUUAGAAAAUUAGUUCAUAAUCACGAAUAAAAGAAUCUCAAAGUUAGUAUAACUGCUAGAAAUAAAGAAACUCAUAAUAAAAUUCAAAGAAAUUAAAAGGAGAUCUUCAAUCUUGAUGGAAAUAUGCUUCAGAGUUGACUUCAAUGGUGUUUUCUGAGUUAUUUCUUCAAUGCUCUCUAUCGGCCCCACUUUUCUCUUCUUAUAUUUGGUAUUUAUAUGUCUUAAAAUGCCUGAAAAACCUAAAAAUUGCAUUUUUCCGCUUAUUUGGAAUAUGCGAAUCGCGAAAUCCACACGGCUGUGUGUCCAACCCAUGUAGUUCUUGAAAUCUGCUCCAAUUGUUCGAUUUUCGCUUCGUUUUCGCUCCCAUAUGCUCUCCUAAUUAUAGAAACAUGACUUUAAAGUAUUAGGAGCAUAAAAUUCACCAUUUUGCAUUGAUUAAUCAUCCAAAAACACAUUAAGAACUUGAUUAAAACAUAUUACUUUUGACACUUAUCAAUGCAUACAAGACAGACAUAUGGUAUUAUAUUCAAUCAAUUUCGAGACUUACACAGGCUUAAGAAUACUCUUAUACUAGUCCACACUUGAAUUAGGGCCAAAUCGUAAAGUUUUAAAAAUCCCUUGACUAACAUCGAGACGACAUGCAUAUACUCAUCGCGACAUCACUCUCUGAGAUGAUGAUGUUGCGAUGUCAAGAAGCCUGCGAUCGAGAUGUUGCCCCUGUUUUUGGAAAAAUCCACCUUUGGUACCUAAUUCAAUGAACUUCAAACCAUUCCCAAGUUAUUCAUUCAACCUUACACAAGAAUAUAGUCAUCAAACCAAGAUCAUGACAAACAAUUCAUAUAUUUAACCAUUCAACAAUCAAACAUAUUCAAGUCCUUAUUCACCUACCAUGUCAAAGUUGUUUUCACUACAAUCACAAACAUAUUCAUCAUGAUAAUUGUAACUAACAACUUCAAUGAAUGGUCAUGCAUCACUUAAAACAUACACAAAACUAUCAAACACACACUUAACAUAUAUAGCCUAUCGUUUCCAAAUCAACUUUAUUUUUAUAAGAACUAUUUUAUCUAAUAAAUUUCUUAAAUUUCUUGCAAAUUCUCUAUUCCAUUACCAGAAUAAACAAAAAAUUUUGGGGUGUUACAAACUUGAACCCUAAGUUGUGGCUUAUAUUGGUUGGGUGUUCACCUUCCCAAAAAUAGCCCGGGUUUGAAUCGCAGUUGUAAAAAAAAGAAGUACAAACACACCCAACAUAAGAAAGAGAAAAACACAUCGCAAAAGAAAAAAAAACUCAUUCCAAUAAAUUUGAAAUAUAGUCUCUAUACUUUUAUUGUUAGAACCUAAAUUUUAAAAUCUGAAAAGUAAAAAAACUAAAUUACUAAAAAAUGUAUAAGGACUAAAAUUAAAAUUGAUAAAGAAUACAAGGAGCUAUGACCUAUUUUAACCUAAAUUAAAUUACAAUACUAUGCAAAACACAUGAAAUAUUUAUACAAAUUGUGGACGACUUUAUCCAUUUUCAUGCUUGAGAAUCUGUUGGGACGACUUUCAUUGGUAGUAUGGAUUUU